AGACCCAAAAUCCCACUAGCAUGACCCAAAAUCCCAUUACGUGGCUCAAAAUCCCAUUACGUAGACCCAAAAUCCCAUUAUGUGGCUCGAAAUCCCAUUACGUGUCUCGAAAUCCCAAUAACGUACCCCAAAUCCCAUUACGUAGACCCGAAAUCCCAUUAACGUGGCUCGAAAUCCCAUUACGUAGACCCAAAAUCCCAUUACCGGGACUCGAAAUCCCAUUACGUAGACCCAAAAUCCCAUUACGUGGCUCGAAAUCCCAUUACGUAGACCCAAAAUCCCAUUAUCUAGACCCAAAAUCCCAUUACGUGGCUUGAAAUCCCAUUACGUGGCUCGAAAUCCCAUUACCGGGACCCGAAAUCCCAUUACGUAGACCCAAAAUCCCAUUACGUGGCUUGAAAUCCCAUUCCGUGGCUCGAAAUCCCAUUCCGUGGCUCGAAAUCCCAUUACGUGGCUCGAAAUCCCAUUACGUAGACCCAAAUCCCACUAACGAGACCCAAAAUCCCACUAACAAGAUCCAAAAUCCCAUUACGUGGCUCGAAAUCCCAUUAACGUACCCCAAAUCCCACUAA
ensembl:lncRNA